GCAGUGUUUCGAAACAUCUGCGCUGUGGAAGCUCGACACAGUAUCGAAGCGUCCCAUCUCUAGCAAGAGACCUAAAGGGCACCAGGGUCAUUGUCAUAUUGGAUCAAAUCAUUGCAGACAACACUGACUUCUCUACUGGUAUUUAAGCAGUAUUUCAAACUGGACAAUCCACAAUUUCCAGAUGUUUGCAUGAAAUGUUUGGCGGUCCUUCAUGCCCACCCUGUAUACCUGUGUGAAGCGGACCCACACUUCCUGAAGACAUAGAACGUGCAGAAGACAGAUGAUCAUCAACACUCCUGUUGUGCUUGUAACAGCGGUGAACCUGUGUUGUACAAGUCCAGUUAACAUCACUCCUGCAAGCACUGCCAUGGUGGUGGAAGAUGAUCAUGUAAAAAGCAAAAUCCCCAUGUGGACUGAUGCAUUGCAUUUGGACUGCCCAAGGAAACCUGUUCACACUUUUACCUUCAUUCAGAAGAUCCUGAUGGGUCUGAUGGCAAAGAAUUGAAACCUUGACUUCUCAGUCUAAAUAAUGAACAGUUUCUAACAGAGUAAGUAAUGUUUCAUGCAACUGUUCUGUUGUUUACAUGCAUGUACACCUGCAAAUAUGUUUGUUGUUUCAAGUUCCAUAACUUGACAGUAUGUUGAAUGCAUCAUUGGACUUUAAUGAAACAGUUUACAUUUGAUACAUAAGUUUAUUAAUAUUUCCUGCUCUUCAAAUAUGUACUCGGCUCAAAUUUGCACAGUUUCCAAAAGAAACGGAUAAAGAGAGAUCCUUUGUGUUUAAAUUAUUUCUUAUUUUGAUAAGUUUAUUUUCUAUCAAGUCUUAUUUAUUUUUUUCAGUCUCAAUGUAUUUUACACAACCAGACCUCAUGUUCUCUGUCACACACAUACAGCUACACUUGCACUCCUACAGUUCACAAUCAUCCACAUUCAUCCACGGGUUUCUGGAAGAGCACACGUAGGCUGCCAUGACAGACUGCUACUUCAGGUGUACGGUUUUAUACUUCCGGUUACC